UCAAAGAAGAAGUAAACAGACGUGAACAGUGACCAAGAACAAUGUCUACUUUUGAAUUUGUAUUGGUUAUUAAGAUGUUUAUUAACACCAUGGAACUCACAAUAUUACUCAUUUAACUCCACAGCAUCACAUACUUACCUCAGGUAGUCUUUAAUUCGCGUUGGAGACAGGACUUGGUUGAUUUGUGUUAUCUAGGCAACGCUAGCUAGCUAGCUGCUAACAACAAUGGCUAACAGUAACUGUAUGGUUUUUCACACUCAAAUAGCCUCCGUCAUGGAGGUGCUAGCGAAUGCAGCCGUGGCAGAGAUCUGUAAACUCGUAGACGACGACUAUGCUGUGUUUCGUUUGGAAAUUUCUCAAAGCCAGAAAGAAAACAGGGGAUUGCGGAGGAAACUACAGCUACUGGAACUGAAGGUGGCACGGGAGCGCGCAGAAAGGACAAUACGAGAGCGCGUCCUCGCUAGUCGUCCCAGUAGUGUCAAAGUCGUCGACCGAUACAGAUUACAAAAAGGUGAAGGACAUCUCACUGGAGGCUACAGGAGCUUUGAGAAGCCAGUGGGACACAAUACAUGGAGAGAUGAUCAACCAAUCACUGUUGAUGAGGGAGUGGAACCUCAACCCAGCACGUUAUCGUGAUAGAGUCUGCAGAUGCAGAGGCUGCAGGUCCUGGGGUCAAGCAGGAGAGGACUGAAGGAGAGGAGGACCCACGACUCACCAGAGACAUCCAGACUGGAGCAGCGGCUGGAGUAGCACCCCCUGUAGCUACAGAGGAACUAUCCACCGCCGUCACGCCCCAGGCCAGGAGCCGGCACAGCAUCACUGAGGAGGAGGAGGGUCCAGAGGUGCUGCUGGUGAAGGAGGAGGGGUGUGAGGAGGGUCUGGGGAACCCUGAGGGGAUCAUGGUCAUGGAGGACAACCAGACUACACCUCCUGAACCCACAAAUGAACCAGCUGAGCAGCACAGGACCACACACAGUCUCACUGAGUCAGUAGACAUGGAGGAUGGGAAGCCUGAUCUGCUACUGAUCAAAGAGGAGACAGUAGAAGAUGGACCAGAGAGCAUUGACCUGCUGAAUGGACUAAAGAUGGGGGGGCAAGAUGAUUGGCUGGAGGCUAAUAGAGGAGACUGGGCGGCCAGCUUGGAUUCCCAGAACCAGAUGGGUGCAGCCAAGAGCCCAGGGGACAACAUCACAGAGCAGGCCAGGACCAGAGGCGAAAUAGUGGAGGUCAGUGGAUGGGACAGCGUCCUCAACUCUGGGCUGGGGAACAACACUGUUAACCACAACCAGAAACAGACAGUCGAACACAAAACAACAACCGAACUUAGUCUCCAUGACAGCAGACUGGCUGAGACCAGAGCGAGGUGUAGAUUUGGUCUGCAGGGUUGGGGAGGUGUCGGUUUGCGGCGAGAAAGAACAGACACAGACUCUGCUAGUGAUGCUCCGUCCUGCUCCUAUAGUUGUGAUUCAGAGAGACUGAUGGCACCUCAGGUUAACCCCCUAACAGGUGCUGCCUUCAGCAUUCCUUCUAUAGGAUCUAUUAACUGGAACAUGGACCCUGUGACAACACAGACACUCCCUGGCCUUCAUCCUCCUCACACUCUCCUAAUGUUAAACCAGACCUCAGAUAAUGCCAGUGCCUCAACAGUAAAUGGCUACACAAGCCCAUUGACAAAUGACAGUAGUAGUAAUGCUAUCACUAGAUCCAGUGGCAAAGAGAAGCGCUUCCUGUGUUCGUUCUGUGGGAAAGCCUUCAGUUUCCCCAAACAGGUGAAGAUCCACCAGAGGAUGCACACGGGGGAGAAACCAUUCAGCUGCCACCUGUGCCGGGCCAGUUUUUCAGACUCGUCCAACCUGAAGAGGCACCAGAGGGUCCACACAGGGGAGAAACCCUACAGCUGCCCUCAGUGUGAGAAGAGGUUCUCCCACCAGCACCAGCUGAAGAGGCACCUGAUGGUCCACACAGGAGAGAGGCCGUUCUCCUGUAUGCACUGCGGGAAGAGGUUCUCAGAGAGAAGCUACCUUAGGAUACACCAGCAGAAAAUGCACACGGCCCUUGUAUAGUGUAUGUUGACAUAUAAUGUAGUAUUAGCUAGUUUGUUUGUAGUUAAUUCUGUUGGUUUUGGAUGUAGUAGGGAACUGGAUGAGGUGAACUGAGGAAAGAAUGAGUAUGAUGAGGCAGAGUAGAUGAUAUGGUGAUGGUUGGUGUGAUGGUGUCUUUAUAAAUGCUUCACUGAUGAAAAGUGACAACCUUGUCCUGUUGUUUGAUGCUAAUGUUUUAUAAUGAGGCAAUGAUAUUGCCUUAAUUCAUGUUUACUAAUGUAGUGAAGCUCUGUGUGUAAUGUUGAACCUUUUUUUAAAGAAUUCUAAAAUUAAAUUUUAUCAAAGUGAGGGUACCGAAACAGAAAUAUAGUGUUACCAUAGUGAGAAAAGUUAUUCUGGUCACAUGUACCAUUUUGUGCAAUAAAAGUACUGUACUUCACAUUAUUACCAUUUUGUUGAAAUUAAAUACAAAAUUGACUCUGUGCUGACUGACUUGGUUAUUUAUUUUUCAUUGCAGGGACUGAGUUUCCCUUAUCUCAGUCAAACCAAAAGAUUAUACUUCAUUCUUGAAUCAACACAUAUGGUCAAUUUUUAUAAACUCCAAUAGCUCCAUAUUGUUAGGUACUUGAAUCACAGUAUUAGAGAUUGGCUUGACUGUGGUUAACAUUUAGUAUCAUGUCAUGUUUCUGUGUGUACAGCAAAGAGUUUCUUAUAUAAACCUUUAUAUGCUCUUCUGUACAAUUUGUCUUUACAGUCUGCAGUCCAGGAGGACCUGCUGAUAUCCGGUGUUGCUGGCGGGAGAGACUGGACCUCUGAAGCAGCUGGUCACAAACCCUGGCCCCGGAACCGAACCCUGGAUCAGGAGCCGUCGCUAUUCCUUCACGAGUCGGAACAAGGACCAAACCAUGAGAGACAGAGACUCCACCACCACACAGAAGGCAACCACUGGACAGGUGGACUGAACAACCUCAGUCCUGGUGGUCAUCAGAGAGACAGAAGCUCCAGUCGGGGAUCCAGUCUGCAGCCCAGACCCUUCUCUUCACAGUCUCAGUGCAGGGAUGAAGCAGGGCCUGGGGCUGAUAGAGAUAGACCCUCCUGUUCCUAUGAUACAAACACCACAGUAUCCAUGAUGAACAGAGCAGGUCACCCUGGGCUUCAGACUUCACAGAGAGUGGUGGGAGACACCCCUGGUAGGAGUCUAACGGGAAGUCUGUCUUCUCCAGGAUCUUGUCUAAUGCCUGGUGAAUGGGUUCAUAGAAGGCCUGGGGAUGGACCUCGGCCUAGCCUUCCUCAGUUACCUCAUGGUUACCCCACGAAUACAGACAGGGUCAGGAUGGGCGUUCACAACGAGAGUUACCUAGCCUAUAACACAGCACACAAUCCCAACAACACCCAAACAAUGGCUAGAGGUCAAGGAGGGAGCUCAAAGACUCAUGGUUCUACCUCCUCUGGUGUCAUUGGGUCACAACGUGGGAGACCGAGCAUUAGGACGGACGCUGACAAGCCAUAUGCCUGCCCCACGUGUGGGAAGCGCUUCGCUAGGGCACACUAUUUGAGGGAGCACCAGACCGUUCACACGAAGGAGAAGCCCUUCAAGUGCAAACUAUGUAACAAGAGCUUCUCCUUCCUUAGUAACCUUACCAGACAUAGGAGUGUCCACAACCGGGAGAAAUCGUAGCAGUGUGGCUUGAGAUGUACGCAGGUGAUGUCUGGGUUAGUUAUCAUGUGAAGUGUUUUGGGGGUAAGAGGGUAAUUAAACCACAUACCCUUCAUUAACUUGUCAUUUGAAACAGGUUUAAGGACAGUUGAAUAUUGACCUGACUGAGGUGAUGUAGAUGGAAUAAAGCCAUUCUAUUAUU